AUGCUUGCGUCAGCAGCACACAUACUAAAAUAGGAAUGAUACAGAGGGGAUGAGCACAGCUCUUUCACAAGAAUAAGACACAAAUUCAUGAAGCAAUCCAUGUUUAA
ensembl:snRNA LOC120098753 U6 spliceosomal RNA